UACGGAGGGAGCUAGCGUUGUUCGGAAUUACUGGGCGUAAAGCGCACGUAGGCGGCUUUGUAAGUUAGAGGUGAAAGCCCGGAGCUCAACUCCGGAAUUGCCUUUAAGACUGCAUCGCUUGAAUCCAGGAGAGGUGAGUGGAAUUCCGAGUGUAGAGGUGAAAUUCGUAGAUAUCUGGAAGAACACCGGAGGCGAAGGCGGCUGUCUGGCAAGACACUGACACUGAGGCGCGACAGCGUGGGGAGCAAACAGG
rnacentral:rRNA from 1 species